CCGGGCUGCCGAGAACAGCGCUCCCCAUUUGAGGCUUUGGUGGGACGCCACAGUCUGAGGGGGACAGAAAGUCUCCCAGCUCUCCUGUUGGAAGGCUCUUGCUCAGUUUAAGCAGUGGUCUUGGGAACCUUGGUCUGGACCAGCUCUCAGCUCCACUAGAAAGCCCACCCUGCAACCUCUUGGGCACAGGACUCUCUCUUUAUUCCAAGCCAGCCUCUUGGAACUAGCAUCUCUACCUCUGGUCAGCAAGCGGGACUGCUCCCCAGAAGCGUGCGCGCGCAGAUCGCCAUCCAGGCCCGAGUCUCGGGAGGCAAAGCCAGGCACUGGCACUGGUCUC